GACUUCGUAGCUCAGUUGGAAGAGCAUUGGGCUAGUAUUCCAAAGGUCGUAGGUUCGAAUCCUACCGUGGCCG
rnacentral:tRNA from 1 species